rnacentral:rRNA from 1 species
AUUGAACGCUGGCGGCAGGCCUAACACAUGCAAGUCGAGCGGAAACGAUGGGAGCUUGCUCCCAGGCGUCGAGCGGCGGACGGGUGAGUAACGCGUGGGAAUCUACCCAGUAGCGGGGGAUAGCCCGGAGAAAUCCGGAUUAAUACCGCAUACGCCCUACGGGGGAAAGCAGGGGAUCUUCGGACCUUGCGCUAUUGGAUGAGUCUGCGGACCAUUAGUUUGUUGGUGGGGUAAAGGCCUACCAAGACUACGAUGGUUAGCUGGUCUGAGAGGAUGAUCAGCCACACUGGAACUGGAACACGGUCCAGACUCCUACGGGAGGCAGCAGUGAGGAAUAUUGCGCAAUGGGGGCAACCCUGAUCCAGCCAUGCCGCGUGUGUGAAGAAGGCCUUAGGGUUGUAAAGCACUUUCAGUAGGGAGGAAAAGUUAGUCGUUAAUAACGGCUAACCCUGACGUUACCUACAGAAGAAGCACCGGCAAACUCCGUGCCAGCAGCCGCGGUAAUACGGAGGGUGCGAGCGUUAAUCGGAAUUACUGGGCGUAAAGCGCGCGUAGGUGGUUAGGUAAGUUGGAUGUGAAAGCCCCGGGCUUAACCUGGGAACUGCAUUCAAAACUGCCUAGCUAGAGUACGAUAGAGGGGGGUAGAAUUUCAGGUGUAGCGGUGAAAUGCGUAGAGAUCUGAAGGAAUACCAGUGGCGAAGGCGGCCCCCUGGAUUGAUACUGACACUGAGGUGCGAAAGCGUGGGUAGCAAACAGGAUUAGAUACCCUGGUAGUCCAUGCCGUAAACGAUGUCAACUAGCCGUUGGAAGACUUGAUCUUUUAGUGGCGCAGCUAACGCAAUAAGUUGACCGCCUGGGGAGUACGGCCGCAAGGUUAAAACUCAAAUGAAUUGACGGGGGCCCGCACAAGCGGUGGAGCAUGUGGUUUAAUUCGAUGCAACGCGAAGAACCUUACCUGGUCUUGACAUCCUACGAACUUACUAGAGAUAGUUUGGUGCCUUCGGGAACGUAGUGACAGGUGCUGCAUGGCUGUCGUCAGCUCGUGUCGUGAGAUGUUGGGUUAAGUCCCGUAACGAGCGCAACCCUUGCCCUUAGUUGCCAGCAUUUAGUUGGGCACUUUAGGGGGACUGCCGGUGACAAACCGGAGGAAGGUGGGGACGACGUCAAGUCAUCAUGGCCCUUACGACCAGGGCUACACACGUGCUACAAUGGAGCGUACAAAGGGUCGCGAUCUCGCGAGAGUCAGCUAAUCCCAUAAAACGUUUCGUAGUCCGGAUCGCAGUCUGCAACUCGACUGCGUGAAGUCGGAAUCGCUAGUAAUCGUGAAUCAGAAUGUCACGGUGAAUACGUUCCCGGGCCUUGUACACACCGCCCGUCAGACCAUGGGAGUGGGUUGCAAAUGAAGUGGGUAGCAUAACCUUCGGGAGUGCGCUCACCACUUUGUGAUUCAUGACUGGGGUGAAGUCGGAACAAGGUAGCCGUAGGGAAACCUGCGGCUGGAUCACCUCCUUA